rnacentral:rRNA from 1 species
GACGAACGCUGGCGGCGUGCCUAACACAUGCAAGUCGAACGAGAGCGCCCGGUUCUUGCACUGUUCAAUCUAGUGGCGCACGGGUGAGUAACACGUGUGUAACCUCCCUAUCAGUGGGGGAUCACAUCCGGAAACGGACGCUAAAACCGUAUAGGUCUUCGAACCGCGUGGUUGGUAGGGGAGAUGCGGCGCAUGCUUCUGCUGUCGGGGCGUCUCGCGGUGCAUUUGCUAGUUUGUGAGGUAACGGCUUACCAAGGUCGUGAUGCAUAGCCGAACUGAGGGAGUGAUCGGCGACAUUGGAACUGAGCCACGGACCAAGCUCCUACGGGAGGCCGCAGUAGGGAAUGGUCCGCAAUGGACGGAAGUCUGACGGAGCGACGCCGCGUGAGAGAAGAAGGUGUUCGGAUCGUAAAGAUGUGUUGUUAGAGAAGAACAGGUGCCAGCGGAGCUGAUGGCGCAUUGACGGUAACUAGUCAGAAAGCCACGGCUAACUACGUG